UACGAAGGGUGCAAGCGUUAAUCGGAAUUACUGGGCGUAAAGCGUGCGUAGGCGGUUAUUUAAGUCUGUUGUGAAAUCCCCAGGCUCAACCUGGGAAUGGCAAUUGAUACUGGAUAGCUAGAGUGUGAUAGAGGAUGGUGGAAUUCCCGGUGUAGCGGUGAAAUGCGUAGAGAUCGGGAGGAACAUCAGUGGCGAAGGCGGCCAUCUGGAUCAACACUGACGCUGAGGCACGAAAGCGUGGGGAGCAAACAGG
rnacentral:rRNA from 1 species